AACGAACGCUUGCGGCGUGCCUAACACAUGCAAGUCGAACGAGAAAAUCUUGCUUGCAAGAUGAGUAAAGUGGCGCACGGGUGAGUAACGCGUGGGUAAUCUACCUUUGGGACAGGGAUAACACUCCGAAAGGAGUGCUAAUACCUGAUACGAUACGAAUUUCAGAAGGAAUUUGUAUGAAAGGUGACCUCUUCCUUGAAAGUUGCCGCUCGAAGAUGAGCCUGCGUCCCAUUAGCUUGUUGGUGGGGUAAUGGCCUACCAAGGCGAAGAUGGGUAGCUGGUCUGAGAGGAUGAUCAGCCACACUGGAACUGAGACACGGUCCAGACUCCUACGGGAGGCAGCAGUGGGGAAUAUUGCGCAAUGGGGGAAACCCUGACGCAGCAACGCCGCGUGAGUGAUGAAGGCCUUCGGGUCGUAAAGCUCUGUC
rnacentral:rRNA from 1 species